rnacentral:rRNA from 1 species
GAUGAACGCUAGCUACAGGCUUAACACAUGCAAGUCGAGGGGUAACGAGAGGGAAGCUUGCUUUCCUUGUCGACGACCGGCGGAUGGGUGAGUAACGCGUAUCCAACCUGCCCUUCAGUAAGGGAUAGCCUUUCGAAAGAAAGAAUAAUACCUUAUGUGAUCGUCUGAUGACAUCAGACGACGAUCAAAGAUUUAUCGCUGAAGGAUGGGGAUGCGUCCCAUUAGGCAGUAGGCGGGGUAACGGCCCACCUAACCUACGAUGGGUAGGGGUUCCGAGAGGAAGGUCCCCCACAUUGGAACUGAGACACGGUCCAAACUCCUACGGGAGGCAGCAGUGGGGAAUAUUGGUCAAUGGCCGUAAGGCUGAACCAGCAAAGUAGCGUGCAGGAUGACGGCCCUAUGGGUUGUAAACUGCUUUUAAACGGGGAUAAAGUGAGCCACGUGUGGUUUAUUGCAGGUACCGUUUGAAUAAGGACCGGCUAAUUCCGUGCCAGCAGCCGCCGUAAUAC